AUUGAACGCUGGCGGCAGGCUUAACACAUGCAAGUCGAACGAGUGGCGGACGGGUGAGUAAUGCAUGGGAAUCUGGCUUAUGGCGGGGGAUAACUACGGGAAACUGUAGCUAAUACCGCAUACCAUAGGAGUAGCCCAAGUUGGAUUAGGUAGUUGGUGGGGUAAAGGCUCACCAAGCCGACGAUCUCUAGCUGGUCUGAGAGGAUGACCAGCCACACUGGGACUGAGACACGGCCCAGACUCCGACGGGAGGCAGCAGUGGGGAAUAUUGCGCAAUGGGGGCAACCUGAAGCAGCCAUGCCGCGUGAAUGAAGAAGGCCUUCGGGUUGUAAAGUUCUUUCGGUAGAGAGGCGUUAACUACAGAAUAAGCACCGGCUAACUCCGUGCCAGCAGCCGCGGUAAUUC
rnacentral:rRNA from 1 species